ACACAGGUGCUGCAUGGCUGUCGUCAGCUCGCGUCGUGAGAUGUUGGGUUAACGUCCGUAACGAGCGCAACCCUUGUCCUUAGUUACCAGCACGUUAUGGUGGGCACUCUAAGGAGACUGCCGGUGACAACCGGAGGAAGGUGGGGAUGACGUCAAGUCAUCAUGGCCCUUACGGCCUGGGCUACACACGUGCUACAAUGGUCGGUACAAAGGGUUGCCAAGCCGCGAGGUGGAGCUAAUCCCAUAAAACCGAUCGUAGUCCGGAUCGCAGUCUGCAACUCGACUGCGUGAAGUCGGAAUCGCUAGUAAUCGUGAAUCAGAAUGUCACGGUGAAUACGUUCCCGGGCCUU
rnacentral:rRNA from 1 species